rnacentral:rRNA from 1 species
UACGUAGGUGGCAAGCGUUGUCUGGAUUUACUGGGUGUAAAGCGCGCGUAGGCGGGAGGCCAAGUCCGCUGUGAAAUCGCCCGGCUCAACUGGGCGCGGUCGGUGGAAACUGGUCACCUGGAGGACGGUAGAGGCGAGUGGAAUUCCCGGUGUAGUGGUGAAAUGCGUAGAGAUCGGGAGGAACACCAGUGGCGAAGGCGGCUCGCUGGGCCGGCCCUGACGCUGAGGCGCGAAGGCGUGGGGAGCGAACGGG